GGCCAGUUAGCUCAGUUGGUUACAGCACGGUGCUAAUAAUGCCAAGGUUGUGGGUUCAAUCCCUGUACAGGCCA
rnacentral:tRNA from 1 species